GACGUAGGGUCCGAGCGUUGUUCGGAAUUACUGGGCGUAAAGGGCGCGUAGGCGGCCUUCUAAGUCGAACGUGAAAUCCCUGGGCUCAACCCAGGAACUGCGUCCGAUACUGGAAGGCUUGAAUCCGGGAGAGGGAUGCGGAAUUCCAGGUGUAGCGGUGAAAUGCGUAGAUAUCUGGAGGAACACCGGUGGCGAAGGCGGCAUCCUGGACCGGUAUUGACGCUGAGGCGCGAAAGCCAGGGGAGCAAACGGG
rnacentral:rRNA from 1 species